rnacentral:rRNA from 1 species
UACGGGGGGGGCAAGCGUUGUUCGGAAUUACUGGGCGUAAAGGGCUCGUAGGCGGCCAACUAAGUCAGACGUGAAAUCCCUCGGCUUAACCGGGGAACUGCGUCUGAUACUGGAUGGCUCGAGUUUGGGAGAGGGAUGCGGAAUUCCAGGUGUAGCGGUGAAAUGCGUAGAUAUCUGGAGGAACACCGGUGGCGAAGGCGGCUUCCUGGACCGACACUGACGCUGAGGCGCGAAAGCUAGGGGAGCAAACGGG